GCUGGACUGGUCGGCACAUGUCGCAAGGGUCACCGAGAUUGUGAAGGACAAGGGCACAGCCAUUGCCACAUCCCUGGCGACACCGGCACAACGCCUGCGCAUGAUACAACAGUGCGUGCACACCACAGUUGCAUAUGGAUUCGCAGCAAUGCCCUUCACAAAACAGGACAUAACAACGCUCGACACUACCCUGGCUGGUUAUGCAAAGCGCUGCUACGGACUCCCCCGCAGCUUCCCCACCCGGACCUCCCUCCUGCCCGCCGACGAAUACGGCUUGGGCCUGGGCUCCCUCCUGCCGCAAUACGCGCGCGUGGCCCAGCGGGCCCUGGUCCUUGCCCUAAAUGACUCGGGCCGUCUUGGGAUAGUAACCCGAGCCCUUCUGCCGCGCCAGGCAAGCAUAGCUGGCCCCACACAGGCCCACCUUCUCCCAGCCCAUAGGUCACACCACCUGACGACGCUGAAACAGAUGACCCUGGCAAAAGAGUACGGUGUCACACUGUACCAAAAUGGGUCUGCCUUUACUGCGCCUACCUGGUCCAUUGCCGCUGCCCUUGAGGCAGAAGCCGAGGCCCGGGGCGUUGAACCUCUCCCCAUUGAAUACGUCCUCCCUCUUGCGGACCUGAGGCUCGAACUGAGCCACCUGGUGGACCGCAACACAGGCAAACACCUGAUUACUAGCUCGGACCUCGAGAAGCACAUGGGAGCGAGCCGGGUCUGGCACAAGCACAAGGUAGCCCUGAACAGGCUUAGCCUUGCUCUCAGUAUGGCUGCACGUGCAGGGGAAAACGCCCCAGCCCACGGCAGCCCUGCCCCCCUGACCACCGCACAGCGUGCACUGCCUGACGUGGCCGCAAUCGUGGCCUUAGCCAUGAGGGCGGACCCCCUCCCUCUUGGAAUGGCCAACCCCCUCGACCGGUACCUGCAGCCCCUCCCGGAGGCGCCCCCCGCCCAAGCAAACACCACGCAAGCCCCCGCCGACCUAGCCCCCCCCUCUCCAGCAGGGGCGGCCCAGGCCCAUCCCGGCGCACAAGGUGCUGCUGCUCCGGAAGUCCCCGCUGAUGGGGCAACGCAACCCUCCCUACGGCCACCGGCCAGAGCCCGCAAGCCGGCUACAACACGCCGGCCACCACAGAACCAAACACGAGCACGGCGCGUUACAAAACAUGCAGCGCAACGCGCACGCAUUGCAGAAACUACACGCACUACCCCUGAGGACUUGCUCACCGGGGACCGCGCCGCCAUCAACCAUGCCCUGCGGCUCACCAACGGCGAUGAGAGCCUGCCGGUGGGCACGCGGGGGUACGAAACGGCAUGCUCGGUAUUCCAAGCGCUCGCCAAAGACAUGACAGGACACAUGCGGAUCUGCCACCCACACCCACAAGACCCACCCUCCCUUGCACAUGCUGUCGAACCACGCCAACAGCGCCGUGGGCUACCACCCGCCCUCACAUCCCGCCUCACGGCUAAUGCCGCCAACCCCGAACCCAACGCCAUAAGCGAGUACCUGAACAACACAGGAUUGCCUAUGGAAGUCAACCAGGCUGCCGCUCACAACGACCCCAUGGACGCUGAUAGCCCGACGCCGCCCCUGACCGUCCUGGCAGCGCAAGCUGCGGGAGGCCACGGGGCCGGUCCCAGCUGGCGACUGGCCCGCGCCAGGAUCACACACGAUCUAGUCCCACGGCCCGCCGACAACCGCACUAACGGUGACACUCAACUCAC
rnacentral:lncRNA from 1 species